AAGAUCAUUAUGUUGAUUUCAUAGCAAACUAGAAUGUAAGGCUGCUCAGCUAUAUUUUACCUCUUAAUCUAAUUAAACAUUAAUAUCUCUAUUAUUGAUUGCAUUAUAGAUUCAGUAACUGAUAAAACUUUCCUCUGAGAUGGAUCAUGUUCCUAAAACUAGAAUGUAAGAUCAUUAUGUUGAUUUCAUAGCAAACUAGAAUGUAAGGCUGCUCAGCUAUAUUUUACCUCUUAAUCUAAUUAAACAUUAAUAUCUCUAUUAUUGAUUGCAUUAUAGAUUCAGUAACUGAUAAAACUUUCCUCUGAGAUGGAUCAUGUUCCUAAAACUAGAA
rnacentral:misc_RNA from 1 species